UGGUGCGGAGAGAGAGACUUGAACUCUCACGUCUGGGACACUAGAUCCUAAGUCUAGCGCGUCUGCCAAUUCCGCCAUCCCCGC
rnacentral:tRNA from 1 species